rnacentral:rRNA from 5 species
UAUGAUCCAGAGUACCACGGGACACGUGAAACCCUGUGGGAAGCAGGAGGGACCACCCUCCAAGGCUAAAUACUACCUAGUGACCGAUAGCGUAUAGUACCGUGAGGGAAAGGUGAAAAGAACCCCGGGAGGGGAGUGAAAUAGAACCUGAAACCCUGCACUUACAAGCUGUGGAAGCACAUUUCUUGUGUGACCGCGUACUUUUUGUAGAACGGGCCAACGAGUUACGUUAAGUAGCAAGGUUAAGCACUUAAGGUGCGGAGCCGUAGCGAAAGCGAGUUUUAACUGAGCGUUCAGUUACUUGACGUAGACCCGAAACCGGGCGACCUACCCAUGAGCAGGAUGAAGCGAAAGUAAAAUUUCGUGGAGGUCCGAACCCACGAGCGUUGAAAAGCUCGGGGAUGACUUGUGGGUAGCGGUGAAAUUCCAAUCGAGCCCGGAGAUAGCUGGUUCUCCCCGAAAUAGCUUUAGGGCUAGCCUCAAGGUGAGAGAUACGGAGGUAGAGCACUGAAUGUCCUAGGGGGUAUUGCACCUACCGAAGACUAUCAAACUCCGAAUGCCGUCAUCUUAUACUUGGGAGUCAGACUGUGGGUGAUAAGAUUCAUAGUCGAAAGGGCAACAGCCCAGAUCGUCAGCUAAGGUCCCUAAAUGUAAGUUAAGUGGUAAAGGAUGUGGGAUUGCACAGACAACCAGGAUGUUGGCUUAGAAGCAGCCACUCAUUCAAAGAGUGCGUAAUAGCUCACUGGUCGAGUGAUCCUGCGCCGAAGAUUUCCGGGGCUAAAACUUACUACCGAAGCUACGGCAUCAGUAAUGAUGGGUAGGGGAGCUUCCCAUACGGGUUGAAGCAUGACCGUAAGGACAUGUGGACAGUAUGGGAGUGAGAAUGUUGGCAUGAGUAGCGAGAUGUGGGUGAGAAUCCCACAGGCCGUAAACCCAAGGUUUCCAGGGGAAGGUUCGUCCGCCCUGGGUUAGUCGGGACCUAAGCUGAGGCCGAAAGGCGUAGGUGAUGGACAACAGGUUGAUAUUCCUGUACUACCGAUAACCGUUUGAGAGAAGGGAUGACACAGUAGGAUAAGCUAAGCACACUGUUGGUUAUGUGUGCCCAAGCAUUGAGGCAGUCAAAGUAGGCAAAUCCGCUUUGAUAAUGCUGGGAUGUGAUGGGGAGCGAAAUUUAGUAGCGAAGUAGCUGAUUUCACACUGUCAAGAAAAGUCUCUAUCGAGGUUAAAGGUACCCGUACCGCAAACCGACACAGGUGGGUGAGGAGAGUAUCCUAAGGCCAGCGAGAGAACUGUUGUUAAGGAACUCGGCAAAAUGACCCCGUAACUUAGGGAUAAGGGGUGCCACCAUCAGGUGGCCGCAGAGAAUAGGCCCAAGCGACUGUUUACCAAAAACAUAGGUUUCUGCUAAGUCGCAAGACGAUGUAUAGGAGCUGACGCCUGCCCGGUGCUGGAAGGUUAAGGGGAUCUGUUAGAGCAAUCGAAGCAGUGAACUUAAGCCCCAGUAAACGGCGGCCGUAACUAUAACGGUCCUAAGGUAGCGAAAUUCCUUGUCGGGUAAGUUCCGACCCGCACGAAAGGCGUAACGAUUUGGGCACUGUCUCAACAACAGACUCGGUGAAAUUGUAAUUCCGGUGAAGAUGCCGGAUACCUGCGACAGGACGGAAAGACCCCAUGGAGCUUUACUGUAGCUUGACAUUGGGUCUUGGUACUACAUGUACAGGAUAGGUGGGAGGCUUUGAAACCAGGACGCCAGUUUUGGCGGAGCCAUCCUUGGGAUACCACCCUUGUAGUACUGGGACUCUAACCAUAGGCCAUGAAUCUGGUCUUGGGACACUGUCAGGUGGGCAGUUUGACUGGGGCGGUCGCCUCCCAAAAGGUAACGGAGGCGCUCAAAGGUUCUCUCAGUACGGUCGGAAAUCGUACGUAGAGUGUAAAGGCAAAAGAGAGCUUGAUUGCAAGACAUACAGGUCGAGCAAGGAUGAAAAUCGGACUUAGUGAUCCGGUGGUUCUGCGUGGAAGGGCCAUCGCUCAACGGAUAAAAGCUACCCUGGGGAUAACAGGCUUAUCUCCCCCAAGAGUCCACAUCGACGGGGAGGUUUGGCACCUCGAUGUCGGCUCAUCACAUCCUGGGGCUGUAGUAGGUCCCAAGGGUUGGGCUGUUCGCCCAUUAAAGUGGUACGCGAGCUGGGUUCAGAACGUCGUGAGACAGUUCGGUCCCUAUCCGUCGCAGGCGUAGGAAAUUUGAGAAGACCUGUCCUUAGUACGAGAGGACCGGGAUGGACGUACCUCUGGUGUACCAGUUGUCCUGCCAAGGGCAUGGCUGGG